AGGAUGUAACAAAAUACACUGCAAGAACUGGAAUGAGAGACAAGUGAGGAUGAAGAGGACAACAGAAUAUCCAUCCUUUCUUCACCACCUCACAGAGUUUGAGUGAAACAACUUGUAUUAGGACUCACAGGAUUAUUUUAUAACAAGACUGAUUAUCUUAUACCAGAAGUAUGGUAUUUUUUUGAAGCUACUUCAAAAGUCUUGUAUCACACUGAAGGGGCUUAUUUCCCAAUAACUACCGGCUGCCUCUACAUUAUCCCGCUUAUUACACGGCUACUUGCCACAUAAGAAAAAAAACUGGACAUGAAUAUGAAUUUGAAACAUUUUAUUGGCAUAUUUGUUUUAAAUUAACAUUUCUAUCCUUCCGCGAAACUUUGCACAGAUGCAUAAAAUGAUCGUAAUACCUUAUUAAGAUCAUCUGCUUCAUACUUGUCUGUCUCCAUUUUUUCUCUUUUAGCCAGUCUUUUAGAAGUUUUAAUCCCCAUUCUGUAUUUUUGUGUGUGCUGGCUUCGUAGCUGUCGUGCUCUAUUUUGUCAAGUUUAGUCUCAGUAAGCUGUCUGUGUCUUGUCGUGGUUGUCCAGGGUUUGUCACAAGAUGGCGCCAAACAGACAGUAAUCUUUAUUGAUCUUUAUUGGCGCGGAGCGAUUUUACUCGUACAAGUAGUCCGGCUAUGCGUUAUUAAUUUGGAGCGGUUAUUAUUUGAAAAGAACGAACCUGCAAAUGUCUCAACUGACCAAUCAGAAUCAAGCAUUCCAGAGAGCCGUGUAAUAAGAAUGUUUAUAUGCAAUAUUUUAACAGAACAUUAAGAAAUAAUGUUUUUCAACAGUUUGUAAAUAAUAGAAUGUAAUGUUUUUUAUCAUUACAAGCAAAAACAUUCAUAACGUUAUUGGGAACUUUGGGAACUUUCAAGGAACGUUCUUAGAACCUUUCUCUGUGGUUGAGCAUUGUGUGUGUCAUAAAAUGCCAUGGGUUCGAACAAGGGAAUGCACAUGCUGAUAAAAAAAAUUAUACUUUGCAUUGCACUGUAUGUUAUUUGCCUUUUUCUGUAAAUGUGAAGAUAAAUAUAAAGACGGACAGUCAUUGUUUCAUUGUAAACCAGUUCUAUUUUAAGAGAACUUAACUAGACUAAAUAAAAGUGUCACAAAAUUUUUUAUUUUGCUAUUAUGAUGCUGAUUUUGUGGUGUUAUGGGUUUUCUGGUUACAGUGGUAGUGGAUCAUGAUCACCUCUCUAGCUUCAAAAGUAGGAUGCAAAAUGUAUAACACCAAAUCAUUAAAGCAUAACUCCAUGUAACUUGACAUAAUUUAAAGUCGUAUAAAGGCAGACAUGAUUCCGUGUGAAGUCCUAUGCCAAAGACUCUCCAAAUACUGCAUCUACACAUUCUUCCUGAUGUGUAUAUUUUGUUUGUAUAUCCUGGUUGUUGCAGACCUGACAGUAAACUUGACUGUGAGCAUCCAUCAGGUAUAGCUGUUUACUUGCAUUACUCAUUUAGAGAAAUGAAGGGUCAAAAUUGAUUAUAUUUUCAUCACCCCUUUUUGUAUGUCUUUGGGACACUUGAAAUAUAUAGCACAUAUAAUGUGGAGCCAUUUUAUAAUGCGGUCACAGACUACUCCCAUUGUAACUGGAAAACCAAAGAAAAUCAUUGUUUAAAUUAUAAAAUUAUAAUUUUUGGAUUAACUAAACCUGUAAUCAGUGUUAUACGUAUGUAUGUUUAUAAUUUGUGUUAUUUUAAAUGUAUUACUGCAAAUGAUUUGAAAUGUGUAUGGUUUAAAUGUAAUUUCACACUUCUUAAAGUAUUUGUAUUGUUUUAAAUAAAGGCUUCAAUAUUUGAAA